rnacentral:rRNA from 1 species
CACGUAGGCGGAUUGGAAAGUUGGGGGUGAAAUCCCGGGGCUCAAUCCCGGAACUGCCUUCAAAACUCCCAGUCUUGAGUUCGAGAGAGGUGAGUGGAAUUCCGAGUGUAGAGGUGAAAUUCGUAGAUAUUCGGAGGAACACCAGUGGCGAAGGCGGCUCACUGGCUCGAUACUGACGCUGAGGUGCGAAAGCGUGGGGAGCAAACA